CAAAGGGAGCCCGCGGCCGGGUUUGUUUGGAUUGCCCGGGCGGCGCGGGAGCGGCCGGGCGCAGCUGACCACGGGUACAGAUAGGUUAAUUUCCACAUGGAGCGGCAGAAACCCAAUCCGCGGGUUGCGAAGCGUGGGUCAGCCAAGGCACGUUAAUCUGUUUAGCAUGUGCGCCGCGCGGAGGAGCCAGACCACCGGGGCGCAGGAGGCGCGGCCGCAGCCGCGCUGCUCCGGGGGAGUUAAUAAAGAGCUUAAGGCAACACAUCACACCAUGGCUGAGACAUACUGAGAUGUCCACUCAAUGCAAGAUGGGUAAAUGAAUGAAAAAUCAAAUGUAGGUCUUUGGCUAGCCUUGAUCAUUUGUUUUAAUUUUAAUAUCUAUAUUUUAAUAUUAUCUUUAUUUGUACUUUCUUCAAUCUUUAAUAUAUGUUAUGCUUGUAAUACUAUAUAGACCCAAGAAUCUGUAACAAAUUCCCAAGUUUUGACACUUUUAUAGCAUUUCAUAAGAAGUGGUUUUAGUUUGUUAUUACUUUUUUCAUGUAUUUUAUUACAGUUUUAAAUGAAAAUGUUUACAUUCUUUUCAAGAAGUUUGGCUGAAAU
ensembl:lncRNA